GGGUUGUGAGGUUAAGCGACUAAGCGUACACGGUGGAUGCCCUGGUAGUCAGAGGCGAUGAAGGACGUGCUAAUCUGCGAUAAGCGUCGGUAAGGUGAUAUGAACCGUUAUAACCGGCGAUUUCCGAAUGGGGAAACCCAGUGUGUUUCGACACACUAUCAUUAACCGAAUCCAUAGGUUAAUGAGGCGAACCGGGGGAACUGAAACAUCUAAGUACCCCGAGGAAAAGAAAUCAACCGAGAUUCCCCAAGUAGCGGCGAGCGAACGGGGAGCAGCCCAGAGCCUGAAUCAGUGUGUGUGUUAGUGGAAGCGUCUGGAAAGGCGCGCGAUACAGGGUGACAGCCCCGUACACAAAAAUGCACAUAUUGUGAGCUCGAUGAGUAGGGCGGGACACGUGGUAUCCUGUCUGAAUAUGGGGGGACCAUCCUCCAAGGCUAAAUACUCCUGACUGACCGAUAGUGAACCAGUACCGUGAGGGAAAGGCGAAAAGAACCCCGGCGAGGGGAGUGAAAAAGAACCUGAAACCGUGUACGUACAAGCAGUGGGAGCACGCUUAGGCGUGUGACUGCGUACCUUUUGUAUAAUGGGUCAGCGACUUAUAUUCUGUAGCAAGGUUAACCGAAUAGGGGAGCCGAAGGGAAACCGAGUCUUAACUGGGCGUUAAGUUGCAGGGUAUAGACCCGAAACCCGGUGAUCUAGCCAUGGGCAGGUUGAAGGUUGGGUAACACUAACUGGAGGACCGAACCGACUAAUGUUGAAAAAUUAGCGGAUGACUUGUGGCUGGGGGUGAAAGGCCAAUCAAACCGGGAGAUAGCUGGUUCUCCCCGAAAGCUAUUUAGGUAGCGCCUCGUGAAUUCAUCUCCGGGGGUAGAGCACUGUUUCGGCAAGGGGGUCAUCCCGAC
rnacentral:rRNA from 1 species